rnacentral:rRNA from 1 species
GAUGAACGCUAGCUACAUGCUUAACACAUGCAAGUCGAGCGACCGGCGCACGGGUGAGUAACGCGUAUUCAACCUACCCAUUACUUUGGGAUAACCUUCCGAAAGGCAGACUAAUACCGCAUUGUACUGGUUGGGGAUGCGUCUGAUUAGCUGGUGGGCGGGGUAACGGCCCACCAAGGCAACGCUCAGUAGGGGUUCUGAGAGGAAGGGCCCCGACAGUGGAACUGAGACACGGUCCAAACGCCUACGGGAGGAAGCAGUGAGGAAGAGUGGUCAAAGGGCGCGAGCCUGAACCAGCCAAGUAGCGUGCAGGAUGACGGCCUAUUGGUUGUAAACUGCUUUUGUAUGGGGAUAGGUAUCAUACGAAUAAGGACCGGCUAAUUCCGUGCCAGCAGCCGCGGUAAUUC